rnacentral:rRNA from 4 species
AAAUUGAAGAGUUUGAUCAUGGCUCAGAUUGAACGCUGGCGGCAGGCCUAACACAUGCAAGUCGAACGGUAACAGGAAGCAGCUUGCUGCUUCGCUGACGAGUGGCGGACGGGUGAGUAAUGUCUGGGAAACUGCCUGAUGGAGGGGGAUAACUACUGGAAACGGUGGCUAAUACCGCAUAACGUCGCAAGACCAAAGAGGGGGACCUUCGGGCCUCUUGCCAUCAGAUGUGCCCAGAUGGGAUUAGCUAGUUGGUGAGGUAACGGCUCACCAAGGCGACGAUCCCUAGCUGGUCUGAGAGGAUGACCAGCCACACUGGAACUGAGACACGGUCCAGACUCCUACGGGAGGCAGCAGUGGGGAAUAUUGCACAAUGGGCGCAAGCCUGAUGCAGCCAUGCCGCGUGUAUGAAGAAGGCCUUCGGGUUGUAAAGUACUUUCAGCGGGGAGGAAGGUGUUGUGGUUAAUAACCACAGCAAUUGACGUUACCC